rnacentral:rRNA from 1 species
UACGGAGGGAGCUAGCGUUGUUCGGAAUUACUGGGCGUAAAGCGCACGUAGGCGGCUUUCUAAGUCGGGGGUGAAAUCCUGGAGCUCAACUCCAGAACUGCCUUCGAUACUGGCGAUCUUGAGUCCGGGAGAGGUGAGUGGAACUCCGAGUGUAGAGGUGAAAUUCGUAGAUAUUCGGAAGAACACCAGUGGCGAAGGCGGCUCACUGGUCCGGUACUGACGCUGAUGUGCGAAAGCGUGGGGAGCAAACAGG